rnacentral:misc_RNA from 1 species
UCCGGUUUGUCACCGGCAGUCUCACUAGAGUGCCCUUGCGUAGCAACUAGUGACAAGGGUUGCGCUCGUUGCGGGACUUAACCCAACAUCUCACGACACGAGCUGACGACAGCCAUGCAGCACCUGUGUCCAGGCUCCCUUUCGGGCACACUCACCUCUCAGCAAGCUUCCUGGCAUGUCAAGGGUAGGUAAGGUUCUUCGCGUUGCAUCGAAUUAAUCCACAUGCUCCACCGCUUGUGCGGGCCCCCGUCAAUUCCUUUGAGUUUCGACCUUGCGGCCGUACUCCCCAGGCGGGGUGCUUAAUGCGUUUGCUACGGCACCACAGGAGUCAAUGCCCGUGACACCUAGCACCCAUCGUUUACGGCGUGGACUAC